UUAUACCAAAUGAACAAGAAGCGUCGCUUUGCUACUGAAGUUGCGCCAGGUGGAACCAUCUCUCAAGGGUAAAACGGUUUCCUCGUCGUACCAGCGUACCAAGAUAAAAACCCAAGGGAAAAGUGAGCUGUCCUCUGCACAGGCGGCACAGAGCGAGACAGGAGCAGGGAGGGAAGGAGGGACGAGGAAGAAGG